AGGACGAACGCUGGCGGCGUGCUUAACACAUGCAAGUCGAGCGGAAAGGCCCUUCGGGGUACUCGAGCGGCGAACGGGUGAGUAACACGUGAGCAACCUGCCCUUAGCUCUGGGAUAGCUCCGGGAAACCGGAAUUAAUACCGGAUAUGACCUAGGCCGACAUCGGCCGUGGUGGAAAGUUUUUCGGCUAGGGAUGGACUCGCGGCCUAUCAGCUAGUUGGUGGGGUAAUGGCCUACCAAGGCGACGACGGGUAGCCGGCCUGAGAGGGCGACCGGCCACACUGGGACUGAGACACGGCCCAGACUCCUACGGGAGGCAGCAGUGGGAAUCUUGCGCAAUGGGCGAAAGCCUGACGCAGCGACGCCGCGUGGGGAUGAAGGCCUUCGGGUUGUAAACCCCUUUCAGCAGGGACGAAGCGAAAGUGACGGUACUGCAGAAGAGCGCCGGCUAACUACGCGCCAGCAGCCGC
rnacentral:rRNA from 1 species